UUUGGAGCUGGGGUUGUUACAGGUGGGGGCGUGGUUGCAGGUGGCUGUGCUGGUGCUGUUGGUGUGGUAGAAGGUGGGGGUGUUGUGGUUGGUGGAGGUGUUGCAGUUGAAGGCGGAGGUGUUGCUGUUGGAGGUGGUGGUGAAGUUGAAGGUGGAGUUAUGGUGGUUGGUGUAGUGGAAGGUGAGGCAGCCGGUCCCUGUGCAUUUGUAAUGGCUAGUUGAAAGCUGAGACAAGUCAAAAUGAGUGCCCA
rnacentral:lncRNA from 1 species